rnacentral:lncRNA from 1 species
CACACAUUCACACACACAUACACACACACUGGAUCUUCAUCUGUGGUAUAUUCAGUUGCCAUUGGAAACCUAAGAAAGAAGUGAAUCUACCCUCCAAGUCUUAAGCUGGUGGUUUUUUUUUUCCCUCCCCUUUUCUCCUCUCCUCACAGAAGGCGAAGUCUUUCACAAUGAAUCCAUGGCAGCUUCGAUCGAGCGGUGAGCUGGAGCACCUACAUACAGGCCACUCCUUGAUGUGACUGAAAAGAGGCCUUUUCCAGCACUCUGAAAGGAGAGUGGGGCUGUGGAUUUACCUCCCACACACCUGGGCACCCAGAGUACAUGCACUGCGAGAUUCCAGUGACAGAUGGAUCUCUCUUGUGCACACGUGCUCUUUCCCUCUCUGUAUUUUUGUUUUCGACAUGUUUGAUCUGAAGUUCUGAAGCUUCUCAGAGGGAACCCGGGAGAGAAGGAAGAGGAGGAGGAGGAGGAGGAGGAGGAGGAACCGAGGGAGUGUGAGCGACAGAAGAGGCAGCCCUGCCUUGUUCUUCCA